rnacentral:rRNA from 1 species
GGAAUAGACGGGGACCCGCACAAGCGGUGGAGCAUGUGGUUUAAUUCGAAGAUACGCGAAGAACCUUACCUGGGCUUGAUAUCCUAAGAACCUUUUAGAGAUAAGAGGGUGCUAGCUUGCUAGAACUUAGAGACAGGUGCUGCACGGCUGUCGUCAGCUCGUGUCGUGAGAUGUUGGGUUAAGUCCCGCAACGAGCGCAACCCACGUAUUUAGUUGCUAACGGUUCGGCCGAGCACUCUAAAUAGACUGCCUUCGUAAGGAGGAGGAAGGUGUGGACGACGUCAAGUCAUCAUGGCCCUUAUGCCCAGGGCGACACACGUGCUACAAUGGCAUAUACAAUGAGACGCAAUACCGCGAGGUGGAGCAAAUCUAUAAAAUAUGUCCCAGUUCGGAUUGUUCUCUGCAACUCGAGAGCAUGAAGCCGGAAUCGCUAGUAAUCGUAGAUCAGCCAUGCUACGGUGAAUACGUUCCCGGGUCUUGUACUCACCGCCCGUCACACCAUGGGAGUUGAUUUCACUCGAAGCCGGAAUACUAAACUAGUUACCGUCCACAGUGGAAUCAGCGACUGGGGUGAAGUCGUAACAAGGUAACCGUAGGAGAACCUGCGGUUGGAUCACCUCCUUUCUA